GACGAACGCUGGCGGCGUGCUUAACACAUGCAAGUCGAACGGAAAGGCCCUGCUUGCAGGGUACUCGAGUGGCGAACGGGUGAGUAACACGUGGGUGAUCUGCCCUGCACUUCGGGAUAAGCCUGGGAAACUGGGUCUAAUACCGGAUAGGAGCCAUUUUUAGUGUGAUGGUUGGAAAGUUUUUUCGGUGUAGGAUGAGCUCGCGGCCUAUCAGCUUGUUGGUGGGGUAAUGGCCUACCAAGGCGGCGACGGGUAGCCGGCCUGAGAGGGUGGACGGCCACAUUGGGACUGAGAUACGGCCCAGACUCCUACGGGAGGCAGCAGUGGGGAAUAUUGCACAAUGGGCGCAAGCCUGAUGCAGCGACGCCGCGUGGGGGAUGACGGCCUUCGGGUUGUAAACUCCUUUCGCUAGGGACGAAGCUUUUUGUGACGGUACCUAGAUAAGAAGCACCGGCUCACUACGUG
rnacentral:rRNA from 1 species